rnacentral:lncRNA from 1 species
CUGUGAUAACAGUUUAUUAUAAUGCGUGAUAAUACGUCCACGUUUAACUAUUUUUUAAGGCGCAUAAAAGUACAUAUCUUAUAAACUGCAACAGCUGGCAUUAUAUGCAAACUAUCUUAAAACAUUUUAAGAACAUAUUCUAUGAAUUGAAUUUUUAUACCCCAUUUAUGAGCAUUAUAUUUUUUGGUAUGUGCGUCCGUUCAUUUGUCCGUUUAUUCGUUCGUUCAUUCGUCCGUUCGUUCGUUCAUCUUCACGUUAGUUCGUCCUUCUUCCCGUUCGCUCAUUUGUUCAUCUGUCCCGCUCUAAACUCAGUGUUGUUUGCAUAUUAUUGAUUUGUAAUUGCCUUUGCCUAGUUUAAUACUCUCAUAUAGGAGGCUUAUAAAAAUCAUAUGAAUGGAUAAAUAAUUUUUUUCCUCUCAUAUCGGUUAAACGGCUUACACUAAAAUUAUAAAAAAAACAAAUACACCCUUUUAUUAUUUCACCACGUACUAAUAUUUGAA